CGCGUAGGUGGUAGUGCAAGUCUGAGGUGGAAUCCCAGGGCUUAACCCUGGAACUGCCUUGGAAACUGCAUUACUUGAGUCAGUGAGGGGAGGGUAGAAUUCCUGGUGUAGCGGUGAAAUGCGUAGAUAUCAGGAGGAAGGCCGGUGGCGAAGGCGGCCCUCUGGCGCUGAACUGACACUGAGGCGCGAAAGCGUGGGGAGCAAACAGGAUUAGAUACCCUGGUAGUCCACGCCCUAAACGGUGGGUACUAGGUGUAGGGCUCGUAAGGGUUCUGUGCCGAAGCGAAAGCAUUAAGUACCCCGCUGGGGAGUACGGCCGCAAGGUUGAA
rnacentral:rRNA from 1 species